rnacentral:rRNA from 2 species
GUCUUUAAGAUUAUAUUAAUUUAAAGUNUAAUNUGCCCAAUGAAAAAUUUAAAUGGCUGCAGGAUUUUAACUGUACUAAGGUAGCAUAAUAAUUUGUUUUUUAAUUAAAAACUAGAAUGAAAGAUUUAAUGAAAUAUAAACUUUUUCAAUUAAAUUUAUAAUAAAUUUAUUAUUUGAGUAAAAAAACUUAAAUAAUUUUUAAAGACGACAAGACCCUAUAGAAUUUUAUUUUUAUUAAUUUUUUUUUUAAAAAUAAUAAAAAUUUUAUUGGGGUAAUAAAAAAAUUAAAAUAAUUUUUUUUUAAAAAAACAAUAUUUUAUGAACUAUAAAACUUAAUUUUUAAAUUAAAAAAUUAAUUACCUUAGGGAUAACAGCAUAAUUUUUUUUUAAAGAUCUUAUUAACAAAAAANAUUAU